GGUGAUUCCAACCACCCUUAAUGG
rnacentral:tRNA from 1 species